GUUGUUAGGGCUGAAGUGUCUAUUACAGCCGUGUCACCCACACUCCUUUCUCUCUCUUAGGGUAUAAUUUACUUUCUCUCUCUAACAAAUCUGCAAUUUUUCCAUUCAAUUUCAGUUUUUCCCCCAUAUUUUUGGGUGAAAUUUAGGGAUUUGGGAUUCAGAUCGGUGAAAUUGAGGCAUCAUGUCGGACAGAUUGACACGUAUCGCCAUCGUUAGCGACGACAAGUGCAAGCCGAAGAAGUGCCGCCAAGAAUGCAAGAAGAGCUGUCCAGUUGUUAAAACUGGUAAGUUAUGUAUAGAGGUCACUGUAGGCUCGAAGAUUGCUUUCAUCUCAGAGGAGCUGUGUAUUGGAUGUGGUAUUUGUGUAAAGAAAUGCCCAUUUGAAGCAAUU
rnacentral:misc_RNA from 1 species